GAUGAACGCUAGCUACAGGCUUAACACAUGCAAGUCGAGGGGCAGCAUGAGGUCAGCUUGCUGACUUUGAUGGCGACCGGCGCACGGGUGCGUAACACGUAUCCAAUCUGCCCGUUACCCGGGGAUAGCCUUUCGAAAGAAAGAUUAAUACCCGAUGGCUUCACACCGCCGCAUGGCGUUGUGAAUAAAGAUUCAUCGGUAACGGAUGAGGAUGCGUCCGAUUAGCUUGUUGGCGGGGUAACGGCCCACCAAGGCGACGAUCGGUAGGGGCUCUGAGAGGAGGAUCCCCCACAUUGGAACUGAGACACGGUCCAAACUCC
rnacentral:rRNA from 1 species